UACGGGGGGGGCAAGCGUUGUUCGGAAUUACUGGGCGUAAAGGGCUCGUAGGCGGCCAACUAAGUCAGACGUGAAAUCCCUCAGCUUAACUGGGGAACUGCGUCUGAUACUGGAUGGCUUGAGUUUGGGAGAGGGAUGCGGAAUUCCAGGUGUAGCGGUGAAAUGCGUAGAUAUCUGGAGGAACACCGGUGGCGAAGGCGGCAUCCUGGGCCAACACUGACGCUGAGUGAGCGAAAGCCAGGGGAGCAAACGGG
rnacentral:rRNA from 1 species